AGCUUUGUGCAUGGAUGGGCCUUUUGGAAAUUUAUAAUUUGGAUGUGAAACAAUUAUCUUAAAACAGUUAGCCAGAGCAGAGUGGACACACAAAUUUAUCUUCUUUCUCUCUCUCUUUUGGUGAGCAACAUCUAUCUUCCAUGACCUCUUGAUUACUGAAGCCUUCAAAAUAUAUUCUUUGGUCUGUGACACUGCGCUUGGUGCAGGUCUGAGCAUUAAAUAUCACCCUCCAUGAUUAAUUGGAAGUUAAUUAAAUCUAUCACUGAAACAAUGAGAAGGCAAUGAUCUAUGUAAUCAUUGAAAUAGUAAAUGAAAUGAUGUAAGGGCCCUCCAUUUCACUUAGUGACAGUGAUGGAGGGGUGCCUAAGCCCUGCUGCGCAGCUGUGUUUUCUGCCUGACCACACAGGCUGCUCAGGCAGACACUAACUUGCCAGUGAGCCGUGUGGCAGAGCAGAGCUAGCAGUGGCCUGCCAGACGCUGCUCUUCCUGUGCAUCUGACUCUUUGGAUGCUGUUCCAAUGACCUCUAAGGGACCUCAAUAUUUUGGGUGCGCAGUGCAAGUGGUGUGCCUGAUGUGCCAUUCCCAAGCGACAAAGCCUUUUGGUGCUGUGCGUGGAUCACCUUGCUGUUUUCAGCUGGAAUGACAGUGUUGCUGCAUUGAUCAUUGGAUAAGCAGUAACAUCACACUCAUUUUACAUUUUAAGGUAAUUGCAUCUAUAUAUAUUAAGGUAAAAUGCAUCUAUAGCUUUUUGAUAGUUCUGAAACUGAUGAUGUUCAUUCCGUCUUCAUAAGGCACGUCAUGCUCAUGAUCAUUUCCUUCUUAUUUCUCACUGACUGUUAAAAUGGUCUAAUAGUGAAGAAACCUAGAAAACAUGAAAGUACAGUUGGAAAGUAUAGUGUUGUAGCCAGUGUCCAGCCAAUUUCUCCAGCAGUAUUUUGAGGGGGAUAAAUGCAUUAAUAAUUUCCCUCCUUAAUCACAUUGUGAUAGAUUUUCCUUUUGGAAGCUAUUCCAGAGUGUGAAGAGAGGACUUAGUUGGGAUAUGCUUUGUAAUACUCAUUUUUCGGUUCAUAUGCGUGAUGAUAACACUAGAUACAACCCAGAGUACACCCUCUCUCACUUUGGAAACGAGAGAACAGCAAGCCUGAGCCAGAGGUCAGGAACUCACUGUUCCCUGUCUUUCCUUCCCCCUGUUUUUUUCCUGAGGCUAUCCCUGGGCACAUGUGCGCCCUGGUAUGAUAAAAGUCCAUGCUUUUCCUUUUCACAGGACAGGCUCAGCUCUUUGCCUUGGCUGUGUGGUCUCUCUAAGUGCACCUGGAAACUCCAAAGACUUGGUGAUUCAAAGGGAUUCCCUUAUUGUGCCCAUCGAUGCGGUUGUUAUGCACUGUUUAAUCAGGAGACAGAUUUGUCCAUGUAAUACUCACACAUCCAUGCCUUCCUCUCUGCUCUGGAUCUCUUAAUUCCCCUACUCCUGUAGCAGAAGUGGUUCUCUUCUCAUCUGGGCCAGCUCUUCAGGCAGUGUUGUAGCUCAUAGCUUUGCCACGGCAGUCCUUAGUAUUUCAGCAGCAGAAGGCAGCCCCUGCACGGGGAAGCUCCAAACCAAAGUACUAUACCGUUCUCAUCUCCACUGGAGUAGAAAUCGUCUGCAUCACACUCUGCUCCCCAGCCCUUGUCUCUUGCAUGUGUAUUUUAUUCUCUCCAGCAAUUUUCCACAGCAAAGAUCAGUGGCAGUGUACGCCAUGUGGGGUGAAAAGGACUUUCUGAAGAACCAUGACUCCUUUGGAAAUAAAAAUAUAUCAAAAACUGCUUUCCUCACACUCCUUACUCUGCAUGUGCCAGUUUCUGUGGUCUUUUCUUACAGAAUCUGUCGGAUUGGGUUUGGCAUAGGGACCUGAAAGCCAUCCUGUGGGAAGCUGCAUUUCCUGCCCCAGGUGACUCCCUGCUCUCACAAGGAGAUAUGGCCUGAGACCCUGCAAAUCCGACCACAUGGAAAGCUGUGGAAAGACGGCAAAAGGAGCUGUGUCAGUAGCACUUCAGAUGUGCUGCUGGUAGGAUGAGGAAGCAAAGGGUUUUCCAUCUGCUGGAAGGGCUUUUUGUGUAGAGGGCAACACUGCGGGGAUGCUUCUGCUGUCACUCACGGUGGGAGCUACAACUGUCAAGGACCAUCUCAGCAGCAGCACUGUUCCCUUGACAACAAAACGCUAUGGUGAGAAUUUACUGUAAUUAAGCUGCUUCGGUAAAGGAAACUUGAAAAGUUUAAGGAGGAGAUUAGAAAGGAGAAUACAAUUUUUCCUUUUGUGCUUCUCCUGCUGCCUGGAAAUGUGCCGCCAAUAUUCCUGAAGAUAUAUCCAUCACCAGCCUGCAAUUCUGCCGAACACUUUGUAGGUUUCAAAAAAAAAAAAAAAAAGACCUCAUGAUUCCUAUAGGCUCUCCAGCCCUUUCUUGUUUCUAAUUUCAAAGGCCCUUUUGAGUGGGAAACAAAAGGUUAAUUUUCUCCAGCUUGCCCAGGCUGACUUAAUGUAACAGAAGGCAGCAAAUUGUAUUGAUUUAGUGACAUGCAACUGUCCAGAAAGAGCUAUUUAUACAUUAUUCAGGACAAACACUGUCAUAAUGGACAAACAGCAGCAGCAUCUGGGAUGUUAAUGUCUACAAAUAAGAUUAUUCUUUGAAAGGAUUAGGACGAAGCAUUUUGUGUAAUUAGAUUUCUCAGUUUCAGGAAUGAAUUGCCUUUUAGCAGUGAAAGCUGUCACUGAGGGAGCCAUUAGCUCCUUAUAACUGAAUUAAAUGCAUAAUUAGUGACAUGAUCGCAUUAGGAUUUGUUUCAUUUUUAACUAAUCUGUGGCACGGGGGGGUGGUCUUUCCAGGUCGCUGCAGCCCACCUCAGCUGGGACCAGCCUCAGCUGGCGGGCUGGAGCUGGUAAAAGUCAGGCGCGUGUGAACAGGAGCCGGGGCCCCGCCACAGCGCUCGCGGGGCUAUUCAUCACUGGGUGCUGGGUGACAGUGACUGAUGGGCUCGGCCCGGGCCUGGCACUUCACCAGUGCAAGAAUCAUACGAGCCAGGGAGCAGAAUGACAGCUGGAGCGCCGUGUCAAGUGGUGUAGAGACCAGAGCUAUUAAUAAUCUCUGCCACAUGAUCUACACCGCCAGAAAACAAUGAUUUAGACGUUGGUGCGAAUAAAGAUUUCACAUUUAGUAUGGGGGGACCAGCCUAGUACUGGAGGAAUAAAUCGCUAUUCAAUCAGCAUGUAUGAAAAUAAGGCAAUGAAUACAUUACAGGUUACCUAAAAGGAGGGGUGUGUGUACGCCCUGGUUCGGGGUGAAUACUGUUAAUCACUAUUUCCUCAAGCUUCACUGAAGCCAGCAAGCAAUGACAUUAAGCGGUGGUGGAAGAGCCGCUGUGAAGGCUCUCCAGCCUAUUCGAGGUGGAGAAAGCGGGGAAAUCGCGUAGGUCCCAAAAUGCAGCGCUCUGUCCUCCUGGUCCUUGUGAGUCCUUGGGCAUGCUAUGGCUGCAGCAGAUCGUGCCCUGCUGGUCUCCAGCAGUGCAGCAGCUGGUUUCUGCUGAGGAAGCCCUUCCUGCAAGCAGGUGACCUUACUGCUGCAACUGCAGCUUUUGCAGCCUCUGCUGUGUCCAGGGACCAAACAAUAAUAAUGUGCACCAGCACAAACCAGACCUAGCAGCCAUGAGGAUCCAGGCGGGGCUGGGCUUUGCUCCCCAGAAGAGGCUCAGAGGUCACAUUGCUCCUCAGCCUCUCUACAUCACAGGGCAUUGACGCUCAGCCACGAACUUGGGGAGGCUCAGCAGAAGGUGCACUGCCACCAGAUGUUUGUUGCUUUAGUUCAGCUUCAGUGGCUGCUGUUAGUCUGCAAUCGCUCAAACUGCUGCGGUAUGCGGCAGAAUUUUGGAAUGGUGUUAAUGGCAGUUUUGUCCUCAGUUCUGGCUCUGCUCUGUCAGUUAAAUGCUGGUAGUGAGGAUUUGAAGUGCAUUUGAAGGGACAAGUAGCAGGACUGGAAUGUGCUCUUCAAUGUCUACAUGCUUCCUCCAAAUUCUAGGUUUUGCCGGGAUAAUUUAGAUAUUCCCUGUUACUUGAUGGUCAUAUUAGGGAUGACUUAGGCUGACAGAACAGGGAUUAAAGCUCCAAAUCCCAGAAUUCUGGCGCAGAUGGCA